rnacentral:rRNA from 1 species
GAUGAACGCUGGCGGCGUGCCUAAUACAUGCAAGUCGAGCGAACGGACGAGAAGCUUGCUUUUCUGAUGUUAGCGGCGGACGGGUGAGUAACACGUGGAUAACCUACCUAUAAGACUGGGAUAACUUCGGGAAACCGGAGCUAAUACCGGAUAAUAUUUUGAACCGCAUGGUUCAAAAGUGAAAGACGGUCUUGCUGUCACUUAUAGAUGGAUCCGCGCUGCAUUAGCUAGUUGGUAAGGUAACGGCUUACCAAGGCAACGAUGCAUAGCCGACCUGAGAGGGUGAUCGGCCACACUGGAACUGAGACACGGUCCAGACUCCUACGGGAGGCAGCAGUAGGGAAUCUUCCGCAAAGGGCGAAAGCCUGACGGAGCAACGCCGCGUGAGUGAUGAAGGCCUUCGGAUCGUAAAACUCUGUUAUUAGGGAAGAACAUAUGUGUAAGUAACUGUGCACAUCUUGACGGUACCUAAUCAGAAAGCCACGGCUAGCUACGUG